AAUGAACGCUGGCGGCAUGCCUUACACAUGCAAGUCGAACGGCAGCAUGACCUAGCUUGCUAGGUUGAUGGCGAGUGGCGAACGGGUGAGUAAUGCAUCGGAACGUGCCUUUUAGUGGGGGAUAACGUAGCGAAAGUUACGCUAAUACCGCAUAUUCUCUGAGGAGGAAAGCAGGGAACCUUCGGGCCUUGCGCUAGAAGAGCGGCCGAUGUCGGAUUAGCUAGUUGGUGAGGUAAAGGCUCACCAAGGCAACGAUCCGUAGCGGGUCUGAGAGGAUGAUCCGCCACACUGGGACUGAGACACGGCCCAGACUCCUACGGGAGGCAGCAGUGGGGAAUUUUGGACAAUGGGCGCAAGCCUGAUCCAGCCAUGCCGCGUGAGUGAAGAAGGCCUUCGGGUUGUAAAGCUCUUUCGGCUGGGAAGAAAUCGCACCCUCUAAUACAGGGUGUGGAUGACGGUACCAGCAUAAGAAGCACCGGCUAACUACGUG
rnacentral:rRNA from 1 species